rnacentral:rRNA from 1 species
AUUGAACGCUGGCGGCAUGCCUUACACAUGCAAGUCGAACGGCAGCACGGGAGCAAUCCUGGUGGCGAGUGGCGAACGGGUGAGUAAUACAUCGGAACGUGCCCAAUCGUGGGGGAUAACGCAGCGAAAGCUGUGCUAAUACCGCAUACGAUCUACGGAUGAAAGCAGGGGAUCGCAAGACCUUGCGCGAAUGGAGCGGCCGAUGGCAGAUUAGGUAGUUGGUGAGGUAAAGGCUCACCAAGCCGUCGAUCUGUAGCUGGUCUGAAAGGACGACCAGCCACCCUGGGACUGAAAAACGGCCCCAACUCCUACGGGGGGGCAGCAGGGGGAAAUUUUGGACAAGGGGCAAAGCCCUGAUCCACCCUUGCCGCGUGCAAGAUUGAAGGCCCUCGGGUGAAAACUGCUUUUGGACGGAAAAAAAACUUCUUUUUUCUAAUAAAAAAGGGCUAAAUAACGGACCCCGUAAGAAAAAAC